GAAAUGCGAUACGUAAUGCGAAUUGCAGAAUUCAGUGAAUCAUCGAAUCUUUGAACGCAAAUUGCGCUCUCGGGUUACCCCCAAGAGCACACCUCUCUGAGUGUCGGUUAAACCAAAUGCCACCAAUUUAUUGGAGGGCGACAGACUGAGGGUAAGGGGUCUCGGCUUCUUUCCUUUUAAAACUCAGCCGCACGAUUGUGUGUGUCGGUGGCAAGUUGCUUUCACUUAAUUGUGAAUACAAUCCACUGACCCUAUGUUGUGUAGCCAAAAGAAACAAAUGAACAAAGACGUAAGCCCGAAGGUGUGCAAACAACUUUAGGUGAGCAACUUUGGACAUUCAUGAAUUAGACCUCAGAUGAAGUGGGAAGACCCCCUGAAUUUAA
rnacentral:misc_RNA from 1 species